rnacentral:rRNA from 1 species
UAAGAGGUCCCGCCUGCCCCGUGACCAUGAGUUUAACGGCCGCGGUAUUUUGACCGUGCAAAGGUAGCGCAAUCACUUGUCUUUUAAAUGAAGACCUGUAUGAAUGGCACAACGAGGGCCAAACUGUCUCCUCUCCCCAGUCAAUGAAAUUGAUCUCUCCGUGCAGAAGCGGGGAUGACACCAUAAGACGAGAAGACCCUGUGGAGCUUUAGACACCUAAACAGACCAUGUCAAACAACCUCCCCCCAAGAAAAUGAACACAUUGGCACCCUGUCCCAUGUCUUCGGUUGGGGCGACCAUGGGGAAGCAGAAAACCCCCACGUGGAAUGAACAACACUAUUCUAAAACUAGAGCCACAGCUCAAACUAACAGAACUUCUGACCAACUUCAGAUCCGGCUUCAACGCCGAUUAACGGACCAAGUUACCCCAGGGAUAACAGCGCAAUCCUCUCUGAGAGUCCUUAUCGACGAGGGGGUUUACGACCUCGAUGUUGGAUCAGGACAUCCUAAUGGUGCAGCCGCUAUUAAGGGUUCGUUUGUUCAACGAUUAAAGUCC